rfam:Robinsoniella sp. RHS robin_c1, whole genome shotgun sequence.
GAAGAGAAGGCUUUGGACAAAACAGAACGAUGAAACGUUGUGCAAAGC